GGAUGUGAGGGCGAUCUGGCUGCGACAUCUGUCACCCCAUUGAUCGCCAGGGUUGAUUCGGCUGAUCUGGCUGGCUAGGCGGGUGUCCCCUUCCUCCCUCACCGCUCCAUGUGCGUCCCUCCCGAAGCUGCGCGCUCGGUCGAAGAGGACGACCAUCCCCGAUAGAGGGGGACCGUUCUUCGGUCAAGGGUAUACGAGUAGCUGCGCUCCCCUGCUAGAACCUCCAAACAAGCUCUCAAGGUCCAUUGUAGGAGAACGUAGGGUAGUCAAGCUUCCAAGACUCCAGACACAUCCAAAUGAGGUGCUGCAUGUGGCAGUCUGCCUUUCUAA
rnacentral:snRNA from 1 species